rnacentral:rRNA from 1 species
UACAGAGGUCUCAAGCGUUGUCCGGAAUUAUUGGGCGUAAAGAGCUCGUAGGCGGUGUGUCACGUCGGCCGUGAAAACCUGCAGCUUAACUGUGGGCGUGCGGUCGAUACGGGCAUCACUGGAGUUCGGCAGGGGAGACUGGAAUUCCUGGUGUAGCGGUGAAAUGCGCAGAUAUCAGGAGGAACACCGGUGGCGAAGGCGGGUCUCUGGGCCGAUACUGACGCUGAGGAGCGAAAGCGUGGGGAGCAAACAGG